CUGAUCCAGCAAUGCCGCGUGAGUGAUGAAGGUCUUCGGAUUGUAAAGCUCUUUCGCGGGGAAGAUAAUGACGGUACCCGUAGAAGAAGCCCCGGAUACCUUCGUGCCAGCAGCCGCGGUAAUA
rnacentral:rRNA from 1 species